rnacentral:tRNA from 3 species
GCGCCCGUAGCUCAAUUGGAUAGAGCAUCAGACUACGGAUCUGAGGGUUGGAGGUUCGAGUCCUUCCGGGCGCGCCA